rnacentral:rRNA from 1 species
GUGUCAGCCGCCGCGGUAACACGUAGGGUGCAAGCGUUGUCCGGAUUCAUUGGGCGUAAAGGGCUAGUAGGCGGCUUAGCAAGUCGGGUGUGAAAACUUCAGGCUCAACCUGGAGCGGCCAUCCGAUACUGCUAUGGCUAGAGUCCGGUAGGGGACCACGGAAUUCCUGGUGUAGCGGUGAAAUGCGCAGAUAUCAGGAGGAACACCGAUGGCGAAGGCAGUGGUCUGGGCCGGAACUGACGCUGAAUAGCGAAAGCGUGGGUAGCGAACAGGAUUAGAAACCCUCGUAGUCC